UGCUGACAUAAGUAACGAUAAAGCGGGUGAAAAGCCCGCUCGCCGGAAGACCAAGGGUUCCUGUCCAACGUUAAUCGGGGCAGGGUGAGUCGACCCCUAAGGCGAGGCCGAAAGGCGUAGUCGAUGGGAAACAGGUUAAUAUUCCUGUACUUGGUGUUACUGCGAAGGGGGGACGGAGAAGGCUAUGUUGGCCGGGCGACGGUUGUCCCGGUUUAAGCGUGUAGGCUGGUUUUCCAGGCAAAUCCGGAAAAUCAAGGCUGAGGCGUG
rnacentral:rRNA from 1 species